AGAGGCAGAGGCAGGAGAAUCACUUGAACCCGGGAGGUGGAGUUUGCCGCAGAGAUCAAGACACUGCACGCCAGCCUGGGCAACUCAGCCUCCUGAGUGGCUGGGAUUACAGGCACCCGCCAUCGUGCCCGGCUAAUUUUUGUAUUUUUAUAGAGACAGGGUUUUAAUAUGUUGGCCAAGCUGAUCUUGAACUCCUCAUCUCAGGUGAUCCGCCCUCCUCAGCCUCCUAAAUUGCUGGGAUUACAGUCAUGAACCACCGCGCCUGGAGAGUUCUCUUUUCUUUGGGUAGGGCAAGGCAAACUGGAAUGGAUUCACCGGAGAGCUGUGCGCAUGCCCUGGAAAGCAUUCUGGUUAGACCCAUGUGAGACAGGUUAGUUUUAUUGUGUGUUCCUCAUGUGUUGCUGCCAUGGUCAUCCUGCUCAGUAGAAGAGGAACAACAGGUUCAGACAUUUGGCCUAUGUCCUUGGCUGAGGAGCCAAUGGGGUAAAGCUACCAUAUGUAGGAUUAUGACUGAACGACUCUAAGUCAGAAUCCCGCCCAGGAGGGAUAUGGCAGCUCCACGGACCUUUUGUUGGCCUCGGAUAGGCGAUCCUCGCCGUGCGCCGGGAACCGGGGUCUGGUGCAGACAGCCCUUCAUCCUGGGAAACGCGCUGCUGCCAGAAAGGCGGUCACUCCCUGACCCAUCACGUAAUGUGUUUGUGGGGAACCUGAUGCUAAGCUAUUCGUAGACGCCCUGCUUCUGGGUCAGGGUUUUCUAUGGAGCAGAGCAGCUCCCUCCCUGCCAUCUAUUGAAAAUCAGAUCUCCACACAAGGGUCUCUCCACCCGUGUGUGGGGGACCCGGUGAUAUGGCGUGUCCUUGUGUAAUUCAACCUUUGACGUGUACUUUUCUUCCUCCCUCCUGUUGCCCCUGGGGACCUCGUUCCCUGGCCCGCUCAUGCCCACCCGCCCCGGAGCUCCGGAACACACAGCGGGUGUCUCUCGCCAGAGCCCAUCAGCGCCCGCUGUGCAUUUGGGAGGCGCCCGUCCCCACCGGCGGGCUUUCCAAGAUGCCACGCGGGGGAUUGCCGAGUUCACGCAUGCCCGGUGGUGGCCUUUGGGGUCACUGCCCCUCUCCCCGCCCCAGGUGCGCGGGGCUGGGAUAUGAGCCAGUCACUGCCUUUGUGCCUUUCCUUCUCUCUCCGCUGCCGGGUUCAACCAGCGGACAGUGGGGGAACGGCGGGCAGGUCGGUGGAGUUAGAUGACAGUAAAGGUGGGCCGGCUCUGUGUGAUAAGAUUCCAACUGGGUCCGACCGCUUCCGUCCGCUGGCGCCGGGUCCCCCAGACGUCUGCGGCGAGCGUUGGAACUGACCAUCAACCUGGGAUUUCUAAGGAAUAACAGAUAACUCUGUUGGCGUGUGAGAAUGCGAUCUCGGCUCAUCGCAGCCUGGACCUUCCUGGGCUCCGUCAGGUGAUCUUGCCAUCUCAGUCUUCCAAGUGGCUGAGACUGCAGGAAUAGCUUGAUUCUGGGAUGUCGAAGCUGCAGUGAGCCAUGAUCACGCCACUGCCCUCCAGCCUGAGUGACAGAGAAAGACCCUGUUUCAGAAAGUAAGAGAGACAGGUUAAAGAAAUAACUCCUUGAAAUUACUACAAUUAAUUGUGAUCUAAAUUACUUGUUAUAUUUUUCACUCCCACUAGUUUAUUAUUAUUGUUGUUGUUAUUAUUUAUUUGUAUUAUUGUUUGUUAUAAUUGUUAUUGUUUUUAUUAUUUAGUUAUUUAGAGAUGGAGUCUUGGUCUAUCACCCAGACUGCAGUGCAGUGGCACGACCUUGGCUCACUGUAGCCUCAUAUUCCCGGGUUCAAGUUCGAGACCAACCUGGGCAAUAUGGCAUAACAACCGUGUCUACUAAAAUCUAUCACUGAUACUCCCAGGGCCGUUGGAUAUGGCAGGUGCAAGUUCGGAGGCUGAGGCAGGCGGUUCGCUAAAGUUUGGGAGUUCGAGAUGAGCCUGGGCAACAGGCUGCAGUGCAUUUGCCUGACCAAGGCCCACCACAGCCUCUACCUCCCCAGCCCAAAUGAUGCUCCCACCUCAGGCUCCAAAGGAGCUGAAACUACAGGCGCCUGCCAUCACGCCCGGCUAACUUUUUAAUUUUUUCUUUUUUAAAGUAGAGACGUGGUCUCACUGUGUUGCCAGGGCUGGUCUCAAACUGCUGGGCUCAAGUGAUUCUUCCACCUCAACCUCCCAAAGUGUUGGGAUUAUAGGUGUGAACCAUGAUGCGCUUCCCUCUUUUUCAUUUCCUUUAUUUUUCCUUUUUUCUUCCUCUUUCUUUCUUUUUCUUUCUUUCUUUUCUUUUUCUUUCUUCUCUCUCUCUUUUUCUUCCUCCCUUCUAUCAUUUCUCAUUCUCUUUUUCUGUUUCUCUUUCUAUUUUCUUCGUUAUCUUUCUUCCCUUUACAUCUCUGUCUCUUUUUCUUUACAUUUUUUUUUAAUCUUUUUUGCUGUCUGUCUUUUCUCAAUUCGUUUCCUCCCAUCCCUCCAACUGUCUGUCUUCGUGUGGAUUCUGGAAGAGUCUCCUCAUUCUGUAUCCCCUGUGUAUCACAAGCCUCUGAGACUUUUGCUUUGUUCUUUUCUCCUUGUUGCAUAAAAGGCAUUCACUCUUCUUUUAUUUUGGUACUCUGUGGACGGUCGAGGGCUGGAAAGAAAAAAAACGGACCAUGAAUUUAAUUGGUUUCACAAGAGACAUGGGAGACCAAAGAACGCACGAUGAGUACUUUGCUAAAUAUCCUGUUUAUUCUCCCAACCAGGCUCAUAAAAGUACAGAUGCAUCCGGUGGGUUGAGAGAUCUCUGUGUAGUCGUGACCCUGCAAUUAUACUUGACAGGAGCGGUGAUGACAGACGGGUGGCACAGAAACCUGCCCUUCUUUGGUACCAAUUGAGCAUGGUGACAACAUAUUCAAAAUGGCCCAUGUCUCAACUUGAUGGUCCUGUUUUUCUGCUCUGUUCUUUAGGAAUGAGUGGAGCCUUCCCGUGCUCCGCCAUUUCCUUGCAUUUUUCUUUUUACAUACAUUCAUUCACUUAUUUAUUUAUUAAUUUAUUUUAAAUAGAGUCUCAUUCUGUAGCCCAGGCUGUGGCGUGGUAUCGGCUGGCUGCAAUCUCUGCCUCCCUGGUUCCAGCGAUUCUCCUGCCUCAGCCUCCCAAGUAGCUGGGAUUACAGGCGUAUGCCACCCUACUCAGCUAACUUUUGUUUUUUUAGUAGAGACAGAGUUUCACCAUGUUGCCCAGGCUGGUGUUGAACUCCUGACCUUCAGGGAUCUGUCUGCCCCAGCCCCCCAAAGUGCUGGGAUAACAGGCGUGAGUCACUGCACCCGGCCUAAAUUGCAAUUUUUCAAAAUAAAUGUGUUUUUUGUUGUUGUUGUUGUUGUUGUUUAAUAAAUAGAGCAUCACCUAGUAACCACUGUUAUUGAAAGUCGAGGUGGCACUGAGGGAGGCCUGUCCAACUUCACAGAGCCUGGGACAACCACUUUCUCUAUUUCCCCUCUGGAGGCCCCUCCCUCUCUCCUUCGCUGCCUAGGGAACCUCCAUCCUGUCAGGGACCCUGUUGUUCUUUUAUCCUCCUGUGUAAAUGGUGUCUCGUUCAGUUGCCGAGGCGGUGGCAUUGUCUCAGCUGGCUGCACUCUCUGCCUCCCUGGUUCAAGCAAUUCUGCUGCCUCAGCCUCCCUAUCAGCAGAAAUUACCGGCACGUGCCACCCUAUCUAGCUAACUUUUGUCUUUUUUAGUAGAGACAAGGCUUCACCAUGUUGGCCAGGCUGAUCUCCCAAUCCUGACUUCGUGAUCUUCCAGCCUCGGCCUCCCGAAGUGCUGGGAUGACAGUCAUGAGCCACUGUGCCAGGCCACCAUCAUUGGUUUUAACUGGGAAUUCUAGAUUUGAAGCACACAUCAUUCUAUGCCACAGAAUGACUUCUUUAUCCUGCUGACUCAAGAAGCUGGGCCCCUUGUGAUUCAUUUCAAACCAAGAGUCACCUCAUGUUUGGAAAACAGAUCUGCUCCCAAGUUCAGUGGAGAGAUGUGGCAUGUAGGACAAGGGACUGUUCCUUCUGAUUUAGUCUCCACGGUGGGGUUUAGGGCUGGAGCUCAGUGCAGAUUGUUGACUCCCUAUACCUUGGGUUCCAUUGUCCCCACCCUGGAACAUGGGCCUUUGCAGAUCCCGGCCCUUUCUGGCCCUUAAGGCACUGUCAGAAACACCAUCACGAGCUUGGAUACCCCGAAUGACUGUGGCUCACUCCUCUCUGGAAACAUUUGAAAUCUGUCCUCUAUGCGUGGCCACCUAAAACCACAGGAGUGUGGGAUACUUGGCCGCCAUCCACCUCACUGCUUUCGGGAGAGAAUGCUGAAAGUCUCUUGCUGACUCUCUUGACUCGAGUUCUUCAAGGGCAUGUGGUCAGGACAUAGUGAGACCAGAUGUAUUAAGUCAGGCUGGGUGUGGUGGCUUACACCUGCAACCCCAACACUUUGGGAGGCCAAGGCGGUAGGAUCGCUUGAGCCUGGGAGCUCAAGACCAGCCUUGGACAACACGGCCAAAACCUGAGGUGCAUGCCUGUGGUCUCAGCUACUCAGGAGGCUAAAGUGGGAGAAUCACCUAACCCUGGGGUGGUUGAGGCUGCAGUGAGCCGUGAUGGUGUCACUGCACUCCAGCCUGGGUGACAGACAGAGUGAUACCCUGUAGCAAACAGACAGACAGACAAGAGCUAUAUUAUGUCCUUCUCAGGGUAGGAAGCAAAAAUAACAGAAUAUGAGACGAGGCUUCACCAUGUUGCCAAGUAUGGUCUUGAUUGCCUGGGAUCAAGGAAUCCACCCGCCCUCAGGCUCCCAAUGUUCGAGAAUUAAAGGCGUGAGCCACUGCUCCUGACAGCAUUGUUUUUUGUUUGUUUGUUUGUUUGUUUCUUUUUUUAAUCUCUUGUCUUUCCAGGAGUUUCACGGCAGAGUGUUUGGCUGGCUUGUUUAAAUUCAUUCUAAAUAGGAACUGAGGAUAUCAGCUUCUGGCCUCAUGGACUCAGAGCUGAUGAGUCCCAAAAACUCAUAAAGUUUAAAAUAAAUAAUUUUGUUGUACAGAAAUACACGGAUGCACCCAAAACACAGAAACAAUUCUUUUAAAAGUUGUCUUAGUCCUGGUGGGUGUGCCAGUGAUUCUUUUAGGUUUGGAGCUUGACUGAGAGAAUUUCCAGUCGGUCUCUGGAUGGAAGUUCCAGAUGAUCCGAUGGGUGGGGACUUAGACUGUGUCCCCCCAGGGGCCCUGGUCUAUUAGUUGUGGGGACUGCCUGGGAGAGCGUGGUGACCCACUGUACUGUGGGAGCCUCUACCCUUCCCCUCCCUUCUCCCCCUCCGGGUGAUGCCAAUUCAUUCCAGGCUGAAACUCUCAUUGGCAGACUUUGGGCAUCACCUAGUGGCCACUGUUACUCUGAAAACUGAGGCCUCAAGGAAGAAGAAAGUUCAUGGUGCCUGUACACAGCCCAGGGCAACUGUGUCGUCUCCACUUCUCCUGCCGCCACCUCCAAGUUUCUCCCUCCCUUGUUUCCUAGGGAAUCACCACCCUGAUGACUGGGUCUGAUUCUUCUUUGAUCAGUUAAAAAAAUAAAUAAAUAUGCCGGGAGUGGUGGCUCACACCUGUAAUCCCAGCACUUUGGGAGGCAGAGGCAGGCAGAUCACGAGGUCAGGAGUUCAAGUCCAGCCUGGCCAGUAUGGUGAAAACGUAUCUCUACUAAACAUACAAAAAACUAGCCAUGCAUGGUGGUGCACACCUGUAAUCCCAGCUACUCAGGAGGCUGAGGCAGGAGAAUUGCUUGAACCCAGUAGGUUAAGGUUGCAGUGAGCCAGGAUAGUACCACUGCACUCCAACCUGGGCAACAGAGUGAGACUCAGUCUCAAAAAAAAAAAAAAAAAAGGGGGGGGGGGGAAAGAGGCCAGGCGUAGUGGCUCACACCUGUAAUCCUAGCACUUAUGGAGGCUGAUGUGGGCAAAUCACCUGAGGUUGGGAUUUCGAGACCAGCCUGACCAACACGGAGAAACUGUCUCUACUAAAAAUAGCAAGUUAGCCAGGCGUGGUGGCGCUUUCCUGUAAUCCCAGCUACUCGGGAGGCCAAAAAAGGAGAAUUACUUGAACCCAGGAGACAGAGGUUGCGGUGAGCCGAGAUUGCACCAUUACUCUCCAACCUGGGCAACAAGAGCGAAACUCCGUAUCCAACAUAAUAGUAACAAUAAUAAUAAAAUAAAAAAUAAGCGAGUCUCCAGGAAAAAAGAAAAUAAAAAUAAAACCAACACUGACAUAAACAUAUGCCUUUGUCUUUUUGAGGCAGCAAUGAUGCUACAAAGUGAUCCACCUGUCUCAGCUUCCCAAAGUGCUGAGAUUACAGGUGUGAGCCACUGCACCCAGCUAUGUGUACUUUCUAUGUGUACUUUCUUUUUUUAAAUUAAGUUUUUGUUUGUUUUGAGACAGAGUCUUACUGUGUCACCGAGGCUUGAGCACAGUGGCAUGCUCAUGGCUCACUGCAACCUCCACCUCCCAGGUUCAAGCAGUUUUCCUGCCUUAGCCUCCCCAGUAGCUGCGACUAUUGGCACAUGCCACUGCACCUGACUAAUUUUUGUAUUUUUAGUAGAGACAGGGUUUCGCUGUGGUCGCCAGGCUGGUCUCAAACUCCUGACCUCAAGUGAUCCACCCGUCUCAGCCUCUCAAAGUGUGAGAAAGAAUUUCUGGGUGCUAGAUGAGUUGGUCUCUCCUUUGUGAGACACCCAUGGGGAGUCAUGGGCGGCCUCUGAGGAGAAAAGUCUCCUUAUUGCCUUCAUGUCUUUAUGCCCUGAGAGCAUAACAGCUCAGAGGCAUUCCACAGGUUGUUAAGGGAGAUACCACACUCCCUUGAAGCAGUGGAAUAUAAUCGAACAUGUUGGCUCCUCCUGAAAUCCACUCCCAUCCAUUUCAGUCCCGAUAAGUUAAAUAUCUUAAGUAGUUUAGACACACACCUUUGCUCAAGGAAAUUCACAAAAACCGCCACUCCUACACAUCUUAUUGCAUGACUCACGAGUUCUCUUUCACUGAUUAAUCCUUUUCCUCAUCCCUUUCUACCCCUCCCAUCUGCCCUAAGAACAAACAGCUUGUAAGCCAAUGAAUUCAGUGGAGCCCGAGAGCUCUGGGCCGUGAGCAAGCCUCCGAUGCUCCUGUCCCCUGGACCCGCCACUUUAACACUUAUUUUGUCUCUUUCCAACUCCUUUGUCUCUGCCGGACUCGGGGUACCCACUGGCUGGUGCAAGGCUGGUUUCCCCACACAAAGUGCUGAGGUUACACGCAUGAGCCACUGCGCCCAGCUAUGUGUAAUUUCAUAACUCAGCUCAUUUCUUGACUGGGUACCAUGGGCAUUUGGGCCACUUUCUCAUGGAACUUACUUGUGCUUCAGGAUCUGUUCAGACCCAAUCAGGUCCACAGCACUUCCGUGUCAUGCUGGAGUGCUGCUGUGCACACCCACUUAUGCCCAGUGUGUGAUGAGUGGCUCAGCUCACAUGGUAACUUCGUGGCCCCACGGUUGGGCAUUUGGUUUCUACUAACAGCCAGAGGCUAGCUGAGAGAGCCUGUCGCUCAAAAGAAGAAUGGUUAUCUGCAGAUAAUGGCAGGGCCUUGCUCCGAAAUCCUCAAGACCUCCUCUGUGAUUUGGAAUAGCCUAUGUCUCAAAUGGAUGGUCCUGUUUUUCUGCUCUGGUCUUUAGGAACAAGUGGAACCUUCCCAUGCUCUGCCACCUCCUUGCAUCUUUUUAUAUUCAUCUAUUCAUUUAUUCAUGUAUUUUUUAGAGACGGGGUCUUCCUGUGUCGCUGAGGCUGGAGUGCAGUGGUAGGAUCAUAGCUGGCUGCAACCUUGAACUGCUGGGCUCAAAGCGAUCUUCCUCCGCCUCAGCCUCCCAAGUAGCUGGGCCUACAGGCAAGGGUGUGAGCCACAAAACAGCACAACGCCUGGCUAAUUAUCUUCAUUAUUAUUAUUAUUGUUUUCUUGCUUCUUUUCUGAGACAAAGUCUCCCUCUGUCACCUGGGCUGGAGUGUAAUUGUUCCCAGACCAAACUGAGGGUUGGGCUGCUUAUUCUUGUGUCCUGACAACAAGAUGCAGAUGAACUGAAAAAGGAUGGAGUUUUUAAUUUCUGUGACCACUUAGAGGGAGAAGGCCUGGAAAUAUCACCAGACCGACUCAAAAUUACAAAGGUUUGUAAAGCUUAUAUACCCUCUAAGCUAUCUGCCUAAGCGUAAGAGUUUAUUCAUCUAAAGGUGGAAGCGAUUGACUUUUUUUUGUUGUUGUUAUUGGAGUCUUCCUCUGUUGCCCAGGCUGGAGUGCAGUGGUGAGAUCUCAGCUCACUGCAACCUCCACCUCCCGAGUUCAAGUGAUUCUCAUGCCUCAGCCUCCAAGGAGCUGGGAUUGCAGGUGCCCACCACCAUGCCUGGCUAAUUUUUGGAUUUUUCUUAGAGGUGGUUUUUUGCCCUGUUGACCAGGCUGGUUUGGAACUCUUGACCUCAGGUGGUCUGCCCACCUUGGCCUCCCAAAGUGCUGGGGUGAUGGGUGUGGGCCACCACUCCCAGCCACUUCUUUUGUUACUAGAAAUGGGCUCUCUCACUAUCAUAGUAUGUUGGAACCUAGCCCCCCCAAAUCUGGCCAUAAACAGUCCCCAAAACUGGCCAUAAACAAAAUCUCUGCAGCAUUAUGACAUGUAUGUAAUGGCCCUAUUGCCCAAGCUGGAAGGUUGUGGGUUUACGUGAAUGAGGGCAAUGAACACCUGGCCCACCCAGGGCAGAAAACCGCUUAAAGGCAAUCUUAAGCCACAAACAAUAGCAUGAGCAAUCUGUGUCUUAAGGGCGUGUUCCUGCUGCAGUUAAGUAGCCCAACCUAUUCAUUUAAUUUGGCCCAUCCCUUUGUUUCCCAUAAGGGAUACUUUUACUUAAUUUAAUAUCUAUAGAAACAAUGCUAAUGACUGGUUUGCUGUUAAUAAAUAUGUGGGUAAAUCUCUGUUCGGAGCUCUUAGCUCUGAAGGCUGUGAGACCCCUGAUUUCCCACUUCAUACCUCUAUAUUUCUGUGUGUGUGUCUUUAAUUCCUGUAGCGCCACUGGGUUAGGGUCUCCCCAGCCGAGCUGGUCUCGGCAAUAGUAUAAACUCAUCUAUAUCAUGGGAUAUGGCACAUGCAUUUGUACAUGCGUACGUGCAUGUGUUUCUCCAUGUUUUCCCAAGCCAGGGAAAACAUGCUUCUUCCUCUGCAGGGGCUCUGGUAGAUUAGUUGUUGGGAGCUCCUCAGAGGGUGCUGGGCUGACACUCUCAUCCGUUUUUGAAGUCUAGGUGGCACACAGGAUGCUGUGGCCACCCGCCCAUGGUAAGGAGUGAGUGUGGUUUCUCUCUGCACCCCCUGCCCCCACCCCUGCCCUUGGAGGCCCACCCUACCUCUGUCCAUCUGUUCUCCCACUCCCUCGUUGCCCAGAAAACCUCUGGAGAUUCUGGCUGCGCCAGAUUGUUGAUCUUUUUGAUCAGCUGGUUCCUUUUCUUUGUGUGUUUGAUCCGUGUGGACUCUUCUGCCUCGGUUUUAAAGAUGGCAGCUCCACCCUAGGCCUUUUUGUUAGUGGAGACUUUUCUGAUUCUCCCCAGAUGUUGUGAAAGCAGGUAAAUGUCAAGCGUGUGGGACUAAAUGGCAUUUCCUAGAAAUAACCAAAUGAGUGUGGAGGAAGAAACAUGCACUACACACCUUUCAAGGCAGCAAUGGCAGCACUAUGAAUUUGGUGUCAUUUCUGGAGUCAGAUUUUGUCCUGAGUUGCCCUCCUUGUUGCCCCAUCCAGGAGGUUCUGGAAGGUUAGAAAACAUUCCAGAGUGAACUACUGUGCCACCGUCCUCUCCCCGUCCUGUUUUGUCCCCUCCCCCUCACCUCAGUAUCUCUCCUUCGAUUCUGGCAGCUUUGCUCUUCCUCCUUCCCUCCCUAGGGAAACUCAACCACCCUAGCUAAGCCACCGUAGUCACUUUUUACCAUUAUAAUAUUUUUCUUUCCCUGGCCAGGAUAUUGGUAAAGUGGAAAGUGUGUCAUAGCCCCACCCUGGGCCUUACUACUUUUUAGAGGUUUUUUUUAUUCAUCUUUCUAUCUUUCUCCUUUCAUCUCUGUCUUCCGAAUUUAUUUCUCCAGUUCCCUUUCUCUCUUCCUUCCUUCCUUUUUUCUUUCUUUCUUUUCUUUUUUUCUUUCUUUCUUCCUCUAUCCUUUUUCCUUUCUUUCUCUUCUUUCUUUCUCUAUCUCUUUCCAUAUUUCUCUCUUCCUCCUUCUUUUUACUUUUUCUUUCUUUUUUGAUUUUUUUGAGAUGGAAUCUCACUGUGUUACACAGGCUGGAGUGCAGUGGCUCCAUCUCAACUCAUGGCAACCUCCACCUUCCGGGUUCAAGCUGUUCUUCUGCCUCACCACUGCCCCCCACACCUGACCUGCCUAGGUAACUGAGACUACAGGUGCAUGCCACCAUGCCUGGCUAAUUUUUGUAUUUUUAGUAGAGACAGGGUUUCACCAUAUUGGCCAGCCUGGUAUCGAACACCUGACCUGGUGAUCCACCCACCUCAGCCUCCCACAUUGCUGGGAUUACAGCCGAGAGCCACUGCACCCACCCAUUGUUUCUUUUAAAAAUAUUUUUCCUUUCAGAAAUCGACCUCCUUCUUCAUUUCCUUUAUAUUUUUUCUUGCAGGACUCGCAAUCUUUAUUGGUUCAAGUUUUUCAGACAGAAUCUAGCUCUGUCACGUGGGCUGCAGUGCAUUGGCCUGACCAUGGCUUACCAUAGCCUCGACCUUCUGAGUCCAAGAGAUGGUCUUAUGUCAGCCUUUCGAGGAGCUGUGACUACAGACGCAUAUCCUCAUUCCAUGCUAACUUUUUUCCCCUUUUUUUUUCUUUAAGUAGAGACAGGGUCUUGCUAUGUUGCCAGAGCUGAUCUCAAACUCCUGGGCUCAGGCUAUUCUCCCACCUAACCUCGCAAAGUGUUGGGAUUAUAGAU
rnacentral:lncRNA from 10 species